UUUCUUUCUUUGUAUACACGUACAUUUCGGUGAGCUGGAACCAAUUACCCAAUAUCCCAAUGGAUUCGGUUAACGAACGACCUUCUGGAAAGAAUUGUGUUAGUUAACCGAGGGACCACUGUACUUACAUAAGAAAAAUUUUAUAGCCACUAACAGUGAUAGUAUGGUGUGAAGGACUCGCAAGAAGUUAUUGUAGCUGUGGCUUCACAUGGAUGCAAAGCAACUGGACCUCAGGUAUUUGGAACUACUGAUUGGAAAAUAACAUCAAGGGAAGCCAUAUAAACUACUGGUAAGUAGCAGAGAAGGAAUUGAGAGAUAGUAUACUGUAAUUCUUUCCACCUUAAUUUAUGGCAUUGAAACAUGAGUUGAAAUGGAGCCAAAAGUUCUAAAAUUUAAGCCACAGAGGUAAUGUACCUAAGGGUUGGAGUUACUGUGUUGUCGCGAUAAUCUGGCGGCAAUCUUUAUUACAGAAUCCUCCAAAGACCAGCAUCAUAUUAAAACACCCUAUAAAUUAAGAACACUUGGAGUUUUAUGAAGAAAGUGUGACUAACUAAAGUAUUGGUAAGCAUAAAAUGAUAAAUGAUGCAUGGUAAAAUAGCUAUAAUCCAAUGCUGUAUUAGUGGGCCGAGCACCAUCAAAAUGAAGGUAUUCAUAUAGAUACUGUAGACUAAUGUUUGGUUGAGAAGGCUGGACAGUUUAAUGGACUGAGAAGGCUGGACAGUUUAAUGUCCAUUUGGCAAUAUAAGAGCUGUGUGACUUACACAGUGAAGAUAUUUUUGUGUUCUUUUACCCUGUGUUAGUACGAGUUGGGGUACCGGUAUAUAAAAUAACAUUGGCAAAUUUGGGUAAAAUUAGGCCAACAAUUUUUGCCCAUCUAUAUCACUUAAUUGCAAUAAAAAUGGAAUAAUCUGAAACCUAGCAAUUGCUUACAUCCAAUUACUGUAUCAAGGUUCUUCUGUACUUGAAGAAGUAAGAAGUACAGAAGUAAAAUAUAUGUGGUGUGUGAAAUGGUUUAGAAGAUGUACAGUCAUCCACAAAAGUCCUGUCGCCUCUCGUCUUGAACCAUGAACCUCGAGAUUCAAACUUGUGCAGCCAAAGCAUUUAUGGACAAUAAUGCUUCAGUGUCUACAGCUUCAGAGUCUGAAUCUCAGGGUUCGCAGAACAGCAGGAGAGGCGACAGGACUUUUGUGGGUGACUGUACUAUGGUGCUAAUUGUUGAGUGGUAGAUAAAGUGAAGACAGGUUUGCUGAGAUGCAUGAUCAUGUUAGAAGGAUGCAGAGGUAAUGAAAAAAAAAGGUAUACAGGGGUACUGUAAUG